AAAGGAGGCUGUGGUGAGGUGGGGGUCGGCCUCUUCUCCCAGCACUCAGAUCUGGUAGUGACUGGAGUGAUGACCAGGAUGGAGGCCACUGAUGGAUGGCAGGACUGAAGAGCACAACAGGACGGCAUGGAGCAGUGAUUAAUUUGAAAACUAGGGAAUCUUCUGAAAGAUAAAAUGUUUCCAUCAGCACAAGCACUGAAGGCUCAGAACUACCACUACAGCAGUUUCCCCAGCAGUGCAGAUGUCAGUCAGUUCAAACUGAGCCAGAAAGCACACCCAGAUGACCUCAUCAAAAUCCUGCUAAAGCCAGCGCAAGUGCUCUGCAUUAUCCCCUGUUUGGAAGGAUUUCGGGGAUGGUUGACCAGAGAGACUGUGACUCAUCCAGCAGCAUUACAGACACAGUGCCAAGGCACCUAGGAGCAGCAGGAGGGGGCAUUCAGGAGGCAGAGUUGGUCCUGGCACCAUCCACUGCAGCUUUGGAAAGGUUUAGCAAAGCGCUCAUCAGUGGGAGCAAGUCCUGUUUAAUCAGACUCUGGGUAGGGACCAAGGAUUUGGCUCAAAAAGGAGAACGGGGCAUAUUUUUUCACUGACAGUAUAAAUAAAGAUCCUUUUAUAAGAACUGUCAUGCUAGACAAAUACGUUUUCUGUAGUAGCUGCUAUCUACAGACUUUUUGCAUCUGGGGAAAACUGAUGCAAAACUGAUGAAUAAUCUGAGGCUGCGA